rnacentral:rRNA from 1 species
GAUAAACGUUGGCGGCGUGCCUAAUGCAUGCAAGUCGCACAAGGGCUUCGGCCCUAGUGGCGGACGGGUGAGUAACACGUACGAAUCUGCCCGGAGGUGGGGGACAACUUCCCGAAAGGGAAGCUAAUACCGCAUACGGUCUACGGACCAAAGCCGAAAGGCGCCACCGGAGGAGCGUGCGGCGGAUUAGCUAGUUGGUGGGGUAACGGCCUACCAAGGCGACGAUCCGUAGCUGGUCUGAGAGGAUGGUCAGCCACACUGGGACUGAGAUACGGCCCAGACUCCUACGGGAGGCAGCAGCAAGGAAUUUUGCACAAUCGACGCAAGUCGGAUGCAGCAACGCCGCGUGGGGGAUGAAGGCUCUCGGGUUGUAAACCCCUUUUGCGAGGGAAGAAGAUCUGACGGUACCUCGCGAAUAAGUCACGGCUAACUACGUGCCAGCCGCCGCGGUAA